UACGUAGGGUGCGAGCGUUGUCCGGAAUUACUGGGCGUAAAGAGCUCGUAGGUGGUUUGUCGCGUGGUACGUGAAAUUCCCUGGCUUAACUGGGGGCGUGCGGGCGAUACGGGCAGACUGGAGUACUGCAGGGGAGACUGGAAUUCCUGGUGUAGCGGUGGAAUGCGCAGAUAUCAGGAGGAACACCGGUGGCGAAGGCGGGUCUCUGGGCAGUAACUGACGCUGAGGAGCGAAAGCGUGGGGAGCGAACGGG
rnacentral:rRNA from 1 species